AAGAUAUAAUAUCCAGCCUGGCUUCCAAAAACUCUCACCUGAUUUCCGCUCUUUUUUGGAGUCUCAAAGUUAAACUCGGACACUCCCUUGGAAACUCAGUCGCAUGAGAAGAUCGCCAGCCCGGAAAGCAGAAUGUGACACUCGUUAAAAUUGAGGCCAGUGCCCAAAUCCCAAUUUUGGGCAUUAUUAUUUUUUAAUUGAAAGCCUGAGACUAAAAUYCAAUUGCAAUAAAAUUACUGGGUUAAUGGUUAAAAAAAAAAAAAUCCCUUUUUUUGCUUCACCGUACUCUGAAGCCCACAUCUCAAUUGCACUGAGUAUAUUGCACGUACGACCACCUAUGGUCACAGUGUUUGCAGGCAAGGCCAUCAAGAACAAAAUAUGUUUGCUAUGGAUGGAUGAAGUCUAAUCGUAGGAGUAGGAGGAAAAAAAGAAAGCUAUUGUCAAAAGGUACUUUCUGCUUUACUACUUUCUUCAUACUUACUGAUUUAACAAAAAUUAAACAGAUGAAUUAUUGAGUAUCUUCUUCUAGAAGACUUCUUUUUAAGGUAAAUAUGCACAUGUGAAAUGUUCUCUGUUACAGAUACUUGAGCCGAUCCUACAGUGUGCCGAGUGCCCUAAACUAUUUUUGAAAAUCACUGAGGAAUGAAGGUGCUACGUAUGCCCAAGUAAACACUUCAGAAGAUGUGGGACUUUGUUUGAACGAGGAUCAUUUAGAAAAAGAACAGACUGAGGUACUGUAACAUGCAUUAAUCCUAAUCUUUUCCUAGCAGAUAUGGGAUUUGUGUAACAAUGCCUGUCAGGCCAAAUUGAGCUCAGUUGAGUUAGUGCUCCCUUUCUGGGAGCUUAC
rnacentral:lncRNA from 1 species